GUACCCCGGUGCUGUGGGCAGCACAGACAUCUGCCUGCAUAACCCAGCUCAUCCUGACUGAUGCCACCAUUUCAAGAGAAGAGAAAUGAGACUGAGAAAGAUUAAGAUAUUUUCUUAAGAUUGGACACUGUGUUCCUACCCGUUGUGCUUGCCUUAUAGUCGAAAGAGAAUUUAUUUAAGCACAGAGAUCAAGCAAAAGUGGAGCACAGGACACACUUUCAAGUUGCCUUGGGGACUGCUCUGUAGAACAAAAAAGAAACUCAAGAUUUUAAGGAAUAAAAAGUACAAAUGAAGAGAAGGCAUGAUUACAAAAGUUGUUGAUCAGUAAUUCUCAUUGGUAGACAGAAAUACCAGUGGCUAAUGAUCGGCUAUACAUUGUUGAAUUAUAGGAUGUAUGGUAUUUAAAAUAUAUUUAUUUAAAACUAAAUUUUUUAAAGAUUUUUGAUGGGUUUAGGGGUACAGGUGCAGUUGUGUUACAUGGAUAUAUUGUGUAGAGGUGAAAUCUGAGCUUUUAAUGUACAACUACCCAAAUAAGAUACAUUGAACCCGAUAGGCAGCAUUUCACUUUCACCCUCAUUCUAUCCUCCCACCGUUUGGAGCCUCCAAUGUCUAUCAUUCAACUCAGUAAGUCCAUGUCCAUGGUUUAGCGCCCACGUAUAAGUGGGAAUGUGCAGUUCUUGAUUUUCUGUUUCUGAGUCAUUUCACUAAGGAUAAUGCCCUCCAGCUCCAUACACAUUGCUGCAAAAGUCAUAAUUUCAUUCACUUUUAUGGCUGAAUAGUAUUCCAUGGUAUAUAUCUACCAGAUUGUUUUAUUCAAUGAUGUGUUGAUGGACACUUAGGUUGAUUUCACAACUUUGCUAUUCUGA
rnacentral:lncRNA from 1 species